UACGUAGGUGGCAAGCGUUGUCCGGAAUUAUUGGGCGUAAAGCGCGCGCAGGCGGUUCCUUAAGUCUGAUGUGAAAGCCCACGGCUCAACCGUGGAGGGUCAUUGGAAACUGGGGGACUUGAGUGCAGAAGAGGAGAGCGGAAUUCCACGUGUAGCGGUGAAAUGCGUAGAGAUGUGGAGGAACACCAGUGGCGAAGGCGGCUCAUCUGGUCUGAGUGAAUCUGACGCUGAGGCGCUGAAAAGCGUGGGGGAGCGAAACAGGAAUUAGAUACCCGGCGUAGUCCG
rnacentral:rRNA from 1 species